rnacentral:rRNA from 1 species
UAGGGAAUCUUCCACAAUGGACGCAAGUCUGAUGGAGCAACGCCGCGUGAGUGAAGAAGGUCUUCGGAUCGUAAAGCUCUGUUGUUGGUGAAGAAGGAUAGAGGCAGUAACUGGUCUUUAUUUGACGGUAAUCAACCAGAAAGUCACGGCUAACUACGUGCCAGCAGCCGCGGUAAUACGUAGGUGGCAAGCGUUGUCCGGAUUUAUUGGGCGUAAAGCGAGCGCAGGCGGAAUGAUAAGUCUGAUGUGAAAGCCCACGGCUCAACCGUGGAACUGCAUCGGAAACUGU